UACGGAGGACCCAAGCGUUAUCCGGAUUUAUUGGGUUUAAAGGGUGCGUAGGCGGUUUAUUAAGUCAGUGGUGAAAGCCCGGAGCUCAACUUCGGAACUGCCAUUGAUACUGAUAGACUUGAGUACAGAUGAAGUGGGCGGAAUGUGAGAAGUAGCGGUGAAAUGCUUAGAUAUGACACAGAACACCGAUUGCGAAGGCGGCUCACUAAGUCAUAACUGACGCUGAUGCACGAAAGCGUGGGGAGCAAACAGG
rnacentral:rRNA from 1 species